UGGGGAAUUUUGGACAAUGGGGGAAACCCUGAUCCAGCCAUGCCGCGUGUAUGAAGAAGGCCUUAGGGUUGUAAAGUACUUUUGUUAGGGAAGAAAAGCUAGUUUUUAAUAAAAAUUAGUGAUGACGGUACCUAAAGAAUAAGCACCGGCUAACUACGUGCCAGCAGCCGCGGUAAUACGUAGGGUGCAAGCGUUAAUCGGAAUUAUUGGGCGUAAAGCGAGUGCAGACGGUUACUUAAGCCAGAUGUGAAAUCCCCAAGCUUAACUUGGGACGUGCAUUUGGAACUGGGUGACUAGAGUGUGUCAGAGGGAGGUAGAAUUCCACAUGUAGCGGUGGAAUGCGUAGAGAUGUGGAGGAAUACCGAUGGCGAAGGCAGCCUCCUGGGAUAACACUGACGUUGAGGCUCGAAAGCGUGGGGAGCAAACA
rnacentral:rRNA from 1 species